GCUCCGUGCACCCAGAGAGCCCUUCGAAACGUGGGUGGGCGGGGCGCGUAAGAAAAGGCGGAGCGUGGCGCGGAGGAUGACGGGAGGAGCGUGCUAGGCCGCGAUUAUGACGUUUCAGGCGCGUUAAUUGGCGACGGCCGAAUAACUCUGUGAAGAAGGUGCUACCACAUAAUAAACUUGCUCAGAGAGAAACUGUGAUUUACUGGAAGUCAAUAGCUAUUUAAUAGCAGAAUUGGAAUGCCAACCUCUGUCUUCAAAUUUCAAGUCCAGUGCUUUUUCCACUCCACCAAAGGAAACAGACAGAUUCAGGAUCAAGAUUGCCUACUCCUGGAGGCCGACUCUACCUUAUUCUGAGGACAACCAAGCCAUUAGCUGCCUUCUCUAUGUAGUCGGACUCAUUGCUUCACUGAUGCAGGUCUGUUUUCCUCAUCUGAGUAUUGGGAAUAAUAAAACCCACAUCAUAGGGUUGUGUCAAAGAUCACUGGGGCUUCAUUGAGAAAGUGUUUGGAAAUUGCAAAAUGCAGAACACACAUGGGUUGAUGACUUUUUGCUAUAAUGUUCUAAUCAUAGUGCAGCCGGACUGUACUCUCUGCCCCCUUCGUAGGCCACCACUCCAUCAUAGUCAGUGCUCUGCUUAUCCAAUCCCAGCAUGUACUCACCAAUUCUCUUUGCCUGCUGUUAGCCUGUGGAAGUUUCUCUGAAGCCAUCCAAACAUCUGGAUAUAAGAUAUGUUGACCCUGAUGUUUAUAUGUGAGUUUAAUUUCCUGGGACUUGAAGGUCUUAUCCACUAAAACUUUUGUCUUGAUGCUACAAAUAGCAGAACCCGUUUAGAACAGGCAGGUUUGUGGGUCCUGGGGUGCCCCUCAUUCUACCCACUAACAAUAGUUA